AGCACAGGCCGGUUUGAGGAGGACACGGGUCACUACAACACGGAGCUCCGUUCAUUUUCCGGGCCUCUCCUGGUCUAGGAGUGCAGAGCGUCCAUGAUCUUUCCUGUUCUGUCCUCAAUCUUGAUGUGAGCUCUAUCUUGGAUAGAUACUGCCAAACCUGUGAGAUGCCACUGCCACUACCAUCCCGAAGCUCCAAACCUGAGACUAAGAAAUCUCGGUCCAGCAAAAUUGUGCCCAGUGGUAAUGGCCAAUCCGAAAAGAGAGGGGAGAAUUAUCAAGAAAAGAUAUCUUCAUCUUCACCUAGAAGACUAUGCAAAAAAAGAUCAGCUUUUGAAGAUCUCACCAAUGCUUCUCAAAGUCAACCUGCCCAGCUCAAGAAGGAAGCCAAUAAGGAGUUUGUUAAAGAUGUUCCCAAGAAGAUAAAAGGGAAAACACCUGCUCUUGGUUUGGCCAAAAGCAAUGAGGUGAAUAUGGUAAGUUAUAAGCUGGAAUCCUCACCAGUAGUAGUCUCUACUACCUUGGUACCAAAUAUUACAGAGAAACCACUCAUUCUGGAGAGAUCUACCACCUCCGGAACAAUCACCACUGAGGAGGCAUCAUUUUUCAGAAAGCCAUUAAUUUUAAAAGAGGAAUCCAGUACUGAGGACACAGGCCUUAUCAAGAGAUCAUUGUUUUUAAAGAAGUUCACAAAUAAGGGAGAGAUAUCCCUCAUGGAGAAACCAACAUCUGUACAGGAAGAGGCUGACAGCAAUGAUGAGUUUGUUGUAAAGCUGAUCACUUUUGGGAAGAAGCAUAAAACUGAGGAGGUAGCCAUCACCAAAGGAACAUUAUCCUUAAAGAAGAUGUGCACAUAUCAGGAGGACUUGGCUUUGCAAGACAUCGCUGUUGAAGAGAAUUCCUUCUUUAUGGAACCAACAAACUUCAGAAAGAAGCCUAAAACAGAUGAUGUAACCGCCACCAAGAAGAUGUUAUCUUUAAAGAAGAAGAAGUAUAUCACUCCGGGGAAGGUGUCCCGUAUGAAGAAACCACUAGUAUUGCAGAAGACCAACUCUGAAGAGGAGUCCCCCCUCAUUAAGGAGCCACUGGCUUUCAAGAAGAAACCUACCAAGAAGGAGACAGCCUUCACCUUGAGGCCAUUAUCUUUAAAGAAGUGUACUACUCAGGGGAAGAUGGCUCACUUGAAAAAGCCAUUAGAAUCCCAGAACACCUCUGGAGAGAAGGCACUCAUUAAGGAGCCAUUGUCUUUUAAAAAGAAGCCUAUCACUAAGGAGGAGUCUCUCUUCCAGGAGUUUUCUGCAUUGCAAGAGAAGCACACCACUGAUAGGGAGGUGGUCCUCUUGAAGAAGCCACAGGUACUGCAGGAGGAGAAAGACAGUAAGGAUAAAUUUCUUAUGGAGCCAGUGUUCCUUAGGAAGAAAUGUACUACCAAGGAGACAAACCCCACCAAGAAGCCGUUACCUAUAAAGAAGAAGUGUACCAUUCAGGGGAAGAUGUACUACUUGAAGAAGCCACUAGUAUUGCAAAAGACAACCCCUGGAGAGGAGUCAUUUGUUAAGGAGCCACUGCCCUUUAAGAAGAGCACCACUGAGGAGUCCCUUUUCCAUGAGCCAUCCAUGUUGCAAGAGAAGCACACCACUCAGGAGGAGGUGUCUGUCUUGAAGAAGGCCUUGACCUUGCAGAAGACACUAACUGAGGAGGAGUCACAUUUAAAGGAGCCUUUGGCUUUUAAGAAGAAACGUACCACUGAGGAGGCAACCCCCACCAAGAAGCUAUCAUCUCUGAAGAGGAAAAGGUGUACUGCUCAGGGUAAGAGGUCCUGCUUGAUGAAGCCACUAGUAUUGCAGACCUCCUCUGGAGAGAAGACACACAUUAAGGAGCCAUUGUCCUUUAAAAAGAGGUCCGCCAUUGAGGAGGAGUCUUUCUUUAAGGAAUCACCUGUGUUGCAAGAGAAACAUACCAUGCAGGGGGAGGUGGCCCUUUUGGAGAAGCCAGGGGCAUUGCAGGAGAAUGUCAGUAGUGAAGAUGAAUUUCUUAUGGAACCAAUUUCCUUUAGGAAGAAACAUACCACAAAUGAGGUGGUCUCUACCAAGGAGCCUUUAUCUUUAAAGAAGAAGAAGUGUUCCACUCAAAUAAUGAUGUCCAUCUGCCAAGAACUGUUGGACUUGCAGAAUAUAAUUAGCAAAGAUAAGGCUUCCUUCUUUAUGGAGCCAGUGUCACUUAGGGAGAAGUCUUUAGCUGAGGAGGUAAUCCUUACCAAGACACCAUUAUCUUUAAAGAAAAAGGAAAUCACUCAGGGGAAGAUAUUCCUCUUAAAGAAGCCACUGGUCUCAGAGAAGACCACCUCUGAAGAAGAGUCACUAUUUAAGAAGCUAUUGCCCUUUAAUAAAAAGUCUACAACUGAAGGGGAGUUCCUCUUCCAGGAUCCAUCAGUACUGCAAGAGAAGCAUACCACUCCACAGGAGGUGUCCCUCUCAACUAAGCCAUUGACCUUGCCAGAAAAGACCACCACUGAAGAAGAGCCCUAUAUUAAGGAACCAUUGACCUUAGAGGAGAGGCCUACUACUGAGGAGGAAUUCCUUUCUCAGGAGCCAUUUUCAUUGUGUGCUAAACCUGCCAACAAACAUGAAUCCCUCUUCUGGAAGGCUUUGGGCUUGCAAAAGACUCAAACCAAGGAGGACUCCUUGAAGAAGCUGUUGACUUUGCAGGAGAAAAACACUACUGAUGAGGAAUCCCUUUUAAAUAAGCCAUCAAUUCUGAAGGAGGAGCUUUCCACUAAAGUGGCAACAAGCAUUGAGAAGGAAUUAUCUUUAAAGAAGAAACCCACUGCUCAGGGGGAGGUAUUCCUCUUGAAGAAGCAGUUGGCCUUGCAGGAGAACAUUACCAAUGAAGAAUCCCUUAUUAAACAGCCACUGGCUUUUCUGAAGCCCAGCAUUGAGGAGGCCAUCCUAAGGGAGUCCUUGGCCUUGCAGGAGAAGCCCAGAAGUGAGGAGGAGACCCUUUUCAAGGAGCCAUUGUCCUUUCAGGAGAAACCUACCCUCAAUGAAGCAUUCCAUUUCAAGGAGAUAAUUUCCUUGAAUGAGAAACACAGCACUGGGAAGGAGUUGUCUUUGAAGGAGCCAUUGGCCUUGCAAGAGAAUCCCACCCAAAAGGAAGAUAACUCUCUUGAAGAUUCCUUGAUCCUCCAAGUUGAAACCAGCUCAUGUGUGCCCAGCACUCCUCCUGUAUCCAGAGCAGGCAUGUCCAAUGUGGGCAAGUUGAGUACCACAAGCAAGUCCAGUGUUUGUGAAUCCAGUUCCAAUAAACCUUCCUCAUCUUGGGGCAAGAGCUCACAGAAGGAGAUGACCCCAUUGGAGGAUAUUGACAGGAACCACGGUGAUCCAUUUUUCAACUCAAUAUAUGCCAAGGAUAUCUUCAGUUACAUGAAGGAGAGAGAGGAAAAGUUCAUACUUAAAGAAUACAUGAACAAGCAGACUGACAUCAAUAGUUGCAUGAGGGCCAUUCUUGUGGACUGGUUGGUAGAGGUGCAGAUGACCUUUGAGAUGAGUCACGAGACCCUGUACUUGGCAGUAAAACUGGUGGAUCACUACCUUAUGGAGGUAAUAUGCAAGAGGGAUAAGCUACAACUCCUUGGUUCCACUGCAUUUCUGAUUGCAGCAAAAUUUGAGGAGCCCUGCCCACCCUGUGUGGAUGACUUCCUAUAUAUCUGUGAUGAUAUUUAUCAGCGACAUGAAAUGCUCAGCAUGGAAAUCAGCAUCCUGCAAACUCUUAAAUUUGAUAUCAACAUUCCCAUCGCCUAUCAUUUCUUGCGCAGAUAUGCUAGGUGUCUCCAUGCCAGCAUGAAGACACUGACUUUGUCCCGCUUCAUCUGUGAGAUGACUCUGCAGGAAUACGACUAUGUCCAGGAGAAGGCUUCCAAGCUAGCUGCUGGCUCCUUCCUCCUGGCCCUCUACAUGAUGAAGCUCAGAUACUGGGUUCCUGCCCUGGAGUAUUACAGUGGCUAUAAGACCUCUGAUCUUCACCCCUUGGUCAAGCAGCUAAACAUCCUGCUGACAUUGCGUCCUUCCAAUAAGCUCAAGACUGUGUAUUCCAAGUAUUCUCACCAGGUCUUCUUCGAAGUCACCAAAAUACCUCCCUUGGACAUGUUGAAGCUAGAGGAGAUUUUGAACUACUGCUAAUUCUGAGGCUGAGGAUCUGGCACUCUGGCAGCAACCACCAGGUUAUCGGUCUGUUCAAAUUUUCUAUUUUUCCUGUUUCAGUUUUGAUGUUUUCCUGUGGUUGACUUCCAGUUUCAUAGCAUUGUGGUCAGAAAAGAUGCAUGGUAUGACUUUGAUCUUCUUGAAUUUGUAGAGGCCUGUUUUGUGCCCUAAUAUGUGAUCUGUUCUGGAGAAUGUUCUAUAUACCCUUGAAAAGAAUAUAUUCUGCUGUUUUAGGAUGGAAUGUUCUUUUUUAUUUUUGGAAUGUUCUUAAUAUAUCUGUUAAGUCCAUUUGUCCCCAUGUGUCAUUCAAAGCCAUUAUUUCAUUUUCUGUUUAAA